rnacentral:rRNA from 1 species
CCUACGGGCGGCAUCAGUGAGGAAUAUUGGUCAAUGGACGCAAGUCUGAACCAGCCAUGCCGCGUGCAGGAAGACGGCUCUAUGAGUUGUAAACUGCUUUUGUACGAGGGUAAACGCAGAUACGCGUAUCUGUCUGAAAGUAUCGUACGAAUAAGGAUCGGCUAACUCCGUGCCAGCAGCCGCGGUAAUACGGAGGAUUCAAGCGUUAUCCGGAUUUAUUGGGUUUAAAGGGAGCGUAGACGGUCGGAUAAGUUAGAGGUGAAAGCCCGAGGCUCAACUUACGAAUUGCCAUUGAUACUGUUAGGCUAGAGAGUAGUUGCGGUAGGCGGAAUGUAUGGUGUAGCGGUGAAAUGCUUAGAGAUCAUACAGAACACCGAUUGCGAAGGCAGCUUACCAAGCUACUACUGACGUUGAGGCACGAAAGCGUGGGGAGCAAACAGGAUUAGAUACCCCUGUAGUC